AGAGUUUGAUCCUGGCUCAGGACGAACGCUGGCGGCGUGCUUAACACAUGCAAGUCGAACGGAAAGGCCCUUCGGGGUACUCGAGUGGCGAACGGGUGAGUAACACGUGGGUGAUCUGCCCUGCACUCUGGGAUAAGCCUGGGAAACUGGGUCUAAUACCGGAUAGGACCGCAUGCUUCAUGGUGUGUGGUGCAAAGCUUUUGCGGUGUGGGAUGAGCCCGCGGCCUAUCAGCUUGUUGGUGGGGUAAUGGCCUACCAAGGCGACGACGGGUAGCCGGCCUGAGAGGGUGACCGGCCACACUGGGACUGAGAUACGGCCCAGACUCCUACGGGAGGCAGCAGUGGGGAAUAUUGCACAAUGGGCGCAAGCCUGAUGCAGCGACGCCGCGUGAGGGAUGACGGCCUUCGGGUUGUAAACCUCUUUCAGUAGGGACGAAGCGAAAGUGACGGUACCUACAGAAGAAGGACCGGCCAACUACGUGCCAGCAGCCGCGGUAAUACGUAGGGUCCGAGCGUUGUCCGGAAUUACUGGGCGUAAAGAGCUCGUAGGUGGUUUGUCGCGUUGUUCGUGAAAACUCACAGCUUAACUGUGGGCGUGCGGGCGAUACGGGCAGACUAGAGUACUGCAGGGGAGCCUGGAAUUCCUGGUGUAGCGGUGGAAUGCGCAGAUAUCAGGAGGAACACCGGUGGCGAAGGCGGGUCUCUGGGCAGUAACUGACGCUGAGGAGCGAAAGCGUGGGUAGCGAACAGGAUUAGAUACCCUGGUAGUCCAA
rnacentral:rRNA from 1 species